rnacentral:rRNA from 1 species
ACAUUUUUUAUAGAUUAUUUUGUAGAUAAGGCCUGCCCACUGUAUUAAUGAAGGGCCGCGGUAUAUUGACCGUGCAAAGGUAGCAUAAUCAUUAGUCUUUUAAUUGGGGAAUGGAAUGAAUGGUUAAAUGAUUUUUUUCUAUUUUUUUAAUUUGAAAUAGAAUUUUGAUUCUAAGUGAAAAUACUUAGUUUUUUUAAAUAGACGAUAAGACCCUAUAGAGUUUUAUUCUUUAUUUAUUAUUAUGAUAUUUUUAUAAUUUGAUUGGGGCAAGUAGAGAAUAAAAUAAAUUUCUUUAAAUUUUGAAUUUUUUUAAUUUAAAAUAAUAAUUUAAAAAAACUACCUUAGGGAUAACAGCGUAAUUUUUAUUAAGAGUUCUUAUCGACAUAAAAGAUUGCGACCUCGAUGUUGAAUUAAAUUUAUUAAUAAGUGCAGAUUUUAUUAAAAUUAGUCUGUUCGACCUAUUAAAUUUUUACAUGAUUUGAGU